GACGAACGCUGGCGGCGUGCUUAACACAUGCAAGUCGAACGGAAAGGCCCUGCUUUUGUGGGGUGCUCGAGUGGCGAACGGGUGAGUAACACGUGAGUAACCUGCCCUUGACUUUGGGAUAACUUCAGGAAACUGGGGCUAAUACCGGAUAGGAGCUCCUGCUGCAUGGUGGGGGUUGGAAAGUUUCGGCGGUUGGGGAUGGACUCGCGGCUUAUCAGCUUGUUGGUGGGGUAGUGGCUUACCAAGGCUUUGACGGGUAGCCGGCCUGAGAGGGUGACCGGCCACAUUGGGACUGAGAUACGGCCCAGACUCCUACGGGAGGCAGCAGUGGGGAAUAUUGCACAAUGGGCGGAAGCCUGAUGCAGCAACGCCGCGUGCGGGAUGACGGCCUUCGGGUUGUAAACCGCUUUCGCCUGUGACGAAGCGUGAGUGAGGGUAAUGGGUAAAGAAGCACCGGCUAACUACG
rnacentral:rRNA from 1 species